AGAGUUUGAUCCUGGCUCAGAUUGAACGCUGGCGGCAGGCCUAACACAUGCAAGUCGAGCGGUAGAGAGAAGCUUGCUUCUCUUGAGAGCGGCGGACGGGCGAGUAAUGCCUAGGAAUCUGCCUGGUAGUGGGGGAUAACGUUCGGAAACGGACGCUAAUACCGCAUACGUCCUACGGGAGAAAGCAGGGGACCUUCGGGCCUUGCGCUAUCAGAUGAGCCUAGGUCGGAUUAGCUAGUUGGUGAGGUAAUGGCUCACCAAGGCGACGAUCCGUAACUGGUCUGAGAGGAUGAUCAGUCACACUGGAACUGAGACACGGUCCAGACUCCUACGGGAGGCAGCAGCGGGGAAUAUUGGACAAUGGGCGAAAGCCUGAUCCAGCCAUGCCGCGUGUGUGAAGAAGGUCUUCGGAUUGUAAAGCACUUUAAGUUGGGAGGAAGGGUUGUAGAUUAAUACUCUGCAA
rnacentral:rRNA from 1 species